GGGUAUAUAGCUCAGUGGUAGAGUACUUGCUUAGCAUGUGUGAGGUCCUCGGGUUCAAUCCCCAGUAUACCAC
rfam:Ictidomys tridecemlineatus contig052963, whole genome shotgun sequence.